rnacentral:snRNA from 1 species
GGAUAUGAGGGCAAUCUGGCUGCGACAUCUGUCACCCCAUUGAUCGCCAGGGUUGAUUUGGCUGAUCUGGCUGGCUAGGCCGGUGUCCCCUUCCUCCCUCACCGCUCCAUGUGCUUCCCUCCCGAAGCUGCGCGCUCGGUCGAAGAGGACGACCUUCCCCAAAUAGAGGAGGACCGGUCUUCGGUCAAGGGUAUACUUGACCGAAGACCGCUCCCCUGCUAGAACCUCCAAAACAAGCUCUCAAGAAAGUUGCUCCUCUGUAAUUACUUUUGAGUCCCAAUGUAACAGAUAUGCAUACAUUUUUCCUUUUG